rnacentral:rRNA from 1 species
UCGAGGGGCAGCACAAAGAUAGUUUACUAAUUUGGUGGCGACCGGCGCACGGGUGAGUAACGCGUAUGCAACCUACCUUAUACAGGAGUAUAGCCCGAAGAAAUUCGGAUUAAUCCUCCAUAGUAUUUUCUAAUGGCAUCAUUUGGAAAAUUAAAGCUUCGGCGGUAUAAGAUGGGCAUGCGUCCUAUUAGCUAGAUGGUAAGGUAACGGCUUACCAUGGCAACGAUAGGUAGGGGGCCUGAGGGGGUGAUCCCCCACACCGGUACUGAGACACGGACCAGACUCCUACGGGAGGCAGCAGUGAGGAAUAUUGGGCAAUGGAGGCAACUCUGACCCAGCCAUGCCGCGUGCAGGAAGAAUGCCCUAUGGGUUGUAAACUGCUUUUAUUUAGGAAUAAACCCUUCUACGUGUAGAAGGCUGAAUGUACUAAACGAAUAAGCACCGGCUAACUCCGUGCCAGCAGCCGCGGUAAUACGGAGGGUGCAAGCGUUAUCCGGAAUCAUUGGGUUUAAAGGGUCCGCAGGCGGACGUAUAAGUCAGUGGUGAAAUCCUGCAGCUUAACUGCAGAACUGCCAUUGAUACUGUACGUCUUGAAUUCGGUCGAAGUGGGCGGAAUGUGUAGCGUAGCGGUGAAAAGCAUAGAUAUUACACAGAACACCGAUAGCGAAGGCAGCUCACUAGGCCUGGGUUGACGCUCAGGGACGAAAGCGUGGGGAUCAAACAGGAUUAGAUACCCUGGUAGUCCACGCUGUAAACGAUGAUUACUCGUUUUCGGCGAUAUACAGUCGGAGACUAAGCGAAAGUGAUAAGUAAUCCACCUGGGGGAGUACGAUCGCAAGGUUGAAACUCAAAGGAAUUGACGGG